rnacentral:snRNA from 1 species
GUGCUCACUUUGGCAGCACAUAUACUAAAAUUGGAAUGAUACAGAGAAGAUUAGCAUGGCCCCUGCACAAGGAUGACACGUAAAUUCAUGAAGCAUUCCAUAUUUUU